rnacentral:rRNA from 1 species
UACGGGGGAGCAAGCGUUGUUCGGAUUUACUGGGCGUAAAGGGCGCGUAGGCGGCCACCGCAAGUCGACUGUGAAAUCUCCGGGCUUAACCCGGAAAGGUCAGCCGAUACUGCGGGGCUAGAGUGCAGAAGGGGCAACUGGAAUUCUCGGUGUAGCGGUGAAAUGCGUAGAUAUCGAGAGGAACACCUGCGGCGAAGGCGGGUUGCUGGGCUGACACUGACGCUGAGGCGCGAAAGCUAGGGGGAGCGAACGGG